AGUGAACGCUGGCGGUAGGCCUAACACAUGCAAGUCGAACGGCAGCACAGUAAGAGCUUGCUCUUACGGGUGGCGAGUGGCGGACGGGUGAGGAAUACAUCGGAAUCUACUUUUUCGUGGGGGAUAGCGUAGGGAAACUUACGCUAAUACCGCAUACGACCUACGGGUGAAAGCAGGGGAUCUUCGGACCUUGCGCGAUUGAAUGAGCCGAUGUCGGAUUAGCUAGUUGGCGGGGUAAAGGCCCACCAAGGCGACGAUCCGUAGCUGGUCUGAGAGGAUGAUCCGCCACACUGGAACUGAGACACGGUCCAGACUCCUACGGGAGGCAGCAGUGGGGAAUAUUGGACAAUGGGGGCAAGCCUGAUACAGCCAUACCGCGUGGGUGAAGAAGGCCUUCGGGUUGUAAAGCCCUUUUGUUGGGAAAGAAAAGCAGCAGGUUAAUACCCCGCUGUUCUGACGGUACCCAAAGAAUAAGCACCGGCUAACUUCGUG
rnacentral:rRNA from 1 species